rnacentral:rRNA from 1 species
AUGUGGUUUAAUUCGUAUGAUACGCGAGGAACCUUACCCGGCUUGAAAUGCAUCUGACCGGCCUUGAAAGAGGCUUUCCCUUCGGGGCAGAUGUGUAGGUGCUGCAUGGUUGUCGUCAGCUCGUGCCGUGAGGUGUCGGCUUAAGUGCCAUAACGAGCGCAACCCUCAUCAUUAGUUACCAUCAGGUCAAGCUGGGGACUCUAAUGAGACUGCCAUCGUAAGAUGCGAGGAAGGUGGGGAUGACGUCAAAUCAGCACGGCCCUUACGUCCGGGGCGACACACGUGUUACAAUGGGUGGUACAAAGGGCAGCUACCUGGCGACAGGAUGCUAAUCUCCAAAACCACUCUCAGUUCGGAUCGGAGUCUGCAACUCGACUCCGUGAAGCUGGAUUCGCUAGUAAUCGCGCAUCAGCCACGGCGCGGUGAAUACGUUCCCGGGCCUU